rnacentral:rRNA from 1 species
UACGUGGGGGGCUAGCGUUGUCCGGAUUUAUUGGGCGUAAAGAGCGUGUAGGCGGCCCGGUAAGUCCGUUGUAAAAGUCAAAGGCUCAACCUUUGAAAGCCGAUGGAUACUGCCGGGCUAGAGUCCGGAAGAGGCGAGUGGAAUUCCUGGUGUAGCGGUGGAAUGCGCAGAUAUCAGGAGGAACACCGAUAGCGAAGGCAGCUCGCUGGGACGGUACUGACGCUGAGGCGCGAAAGCGUGGGGAGCGAACAGG